AUCCGCAGCAGGUCUCCAAGGUGAACA
rnacentral:piRNA from 4 species